GACGAACGCUGGCGGCGUGCUUAACACAUGCAAGUCGAACGAAGAGCGACGGAAGCUUGCUUCUAUCAAUCUUAGUGGCGAACGGGUGAGUAACGCGUAAUCAACCUGCCCUUCAGAGGGGGACAACAGUUGGAAACGACUGCUAAUACGGCAUACGAUCUAAUCUCGGCAUCGAGGAUGGAUGAAAGGGGGCCUCUACAUGUAAGCUAUCACUGAAGGAGGGGAUUGCGUCUGAUUAGCUGGUUGGAGGGGUAACGGCCCACCAAGGCGAUGAUCAGUAGCCGGUCUGAGAGGAUGAACGGCCACAUUGGGACUGAGACACGGCCCAGACUCCUACGGGAGGCAGCAGUGGGGAAUCUUCCGCAAUGGACGAAAGUCUGACGGAGCAACGCCGCGUGAGUGAUGACGGCCUUCGGGUUGUAAAGCUCUGUUAAUCGGGACGAAAGGCCUUCUUGCGAAUAGUGAGAAGGAUUGACGGUACCGGAAUAGAAAGCCACGGCUAACUACGUG
rnacentral:rRNA from 1 species